CAGGAUGACGCUAGCUACCAGGCUUAACACAUGCAGUCGAGGGGCAGCAUGGUCUUAGCUUGCUAAGGCCGAUGGCGACCGGCGCACGGGUGAGUAACACGUAUCCAACCUGCCGUCUACUCUUGGACAGCCUUCUGAAAGGAAGAUUAAUACAAGAUGGCAUCAUGAGUCCGCAUGUUCACAUGAUUAAAGGUAUUCCGGUAGACGAUGGGGAUGCGUUCCAUUAGAUAGUAGGCGGGGUAACGGCCCACCUAGUCUUCGAUGGAUAGGGGUUCUGAGAGGAAGGUCCCCCACAUUGGAACUGAGACACGGUCCAAACUCCUACGGGAGGCAGCAGUGAGGAAUAUUGGUCAAUGGGCGAGAGCCUGAACCAGCCAAGUAGCGUGAAGGAUGACUGCCCUAUGGGUUGUAAACUUCUUUUAUAAAGGAAUAAAGUCGGGUAUGGAUACCCGUUUGCAUGUACUUUAUGAAUAAGGAUCGGCUAACUCCGUGCCAGCAGCCGCGGUAAUACGGAGGAUCCGAGCGUUAUCCGGAUUUAUUGGGUUUAAAGGGAGCGUAGAUGGAUGUUUAAGUCAGUUGUGAAAGUUUGCGGCUCAACCGUAAAAUUGCAGUUGAUACUGGAUAUCUUGAGUGCAGUUGAGGCAGGCGGAAUUCGUGGUGUAGCGGUGAAAUGCUUAGAUAUCACGAAGAACUCCGAUUGCGAAGGCAGCCUGCUAAGCUGCAACUGACAUUGAGGCUCGAAAGUGUGGGUAUCAACAG
rnacentral:rRNA from 1 species